UAGGGAAUAUUGCACAAUGGGGGAAACCCUGAUGCAGCGACGCCGCGUGAAGGAAGAAGUAUCUCGGUAUGUAAACUUCUAUCAGCAGGGAAGACAAUGACGGUACCUGACUAAGAAGCCCCGGCUAACUACGUGCCAGCAGCCGCGGUAAUACGUAGGGGGCAAGCGUUAUCCGGAUUUACUGGGUGUAAAGGGAGCGUAGACGGAUCUGCAAGUCUGGAGUGAAAGCCCGGGGCUCAACCCCGGGACUGCUUUGGAAACUGUGGAUCUAGAGUGCCGGAGAGGUAAGCGGAAUUCCUAGUGUAGCGGUGAAAUGCGUAGAUAUUAGGAGGAACACCAGUGGCGAAGGCGGCUUACUGGACGGUAACUGACGUUGAGGCUCGAAAGCGUGGGGAGCAAACAGG
rnacentral:rRNA from 2 species